CACGUAGGGGGCGAGCGUUGUCCGGAUUUAUUGGGCGUAAAGAGCUCGUAGGCGGCUUGGUAAGUCGGGUGUGAAACCUCCAGGCUCAACCUGGAGACGCCACCCGAUACUGCUAUGGCUAGAGUCCGGUAGGGGAGCGUGGAAUUCCUGGUGUAGCGGUGAAAUGCGCAGAUAUCAGGAGGAACACCAGCGGCGAAGGCGGCGCUCUGGGCCGGAACUGACGCUGAGGAGCGAAAGCGUGGGUAGCAAACAGG
rnacentral:rRNA from 1 species